GCUAGAAUGGUGUAGUGGUUUGACUGUUGGAUUAUGCCUCUGAAGGCCAGGUUUCAAAUCCUUGUUCGAACA